AAUAUGAAAAUUAAAUAUGAAAUUGCAUGAAUAUUAAAUUUCCAAAAAUUAAACAAUAUUUGAUCAAGUCUCACAAUCCAUUAAUCAACUAAAGUUUCAACCAAUAUUCAACUAGAUUACAGAAAUUCAGCCACUCAUUGCCUGAAUUAAAAAAUGAAAAAAAAAAAAAAAAAAGAAAAUAAAAGAAGAAGAACCGAAGGAUAUUGAAUUCAGCCUUCUGCCUUGCGCCGAGCACUGCCGAAUUGAAGUUGGGAUUGAAUUAUGCACUGAAGAGCCUUUAAAUAGGUGCAGAGAGCGCCCUAAUUAGGAAGUACCGACGCUGUCCACGCGGUGGAGUGGAUUGAGUGCGCGAGCGGUCCAUGUGAGGCUGGAGUCCAUUGUGCGUGGCUUUGGGCCACUGGAGGGAAUUGCGAAGUGGCAGUGACCCAUGUGAAGAGCUCGGUCCACGGGCUGUCCGUGUGCGAAGGUUGCGUGAAGGCGGGGGUGUGAGUGCAGUCCACGUGCUGGUCCUUGGACCAUUGUGCAUGAAUGCUGAAGGUGGGCCACAUGUGCGUGCUCGUUGAAGUGAAUGGUGGAGCGCCUUGGCGGGCCCGCAUGAAGUGGGUUUGUGCGGAUUAGGCCGUCCAACGGCGUGAGUGGUGAAGGCGGAGGCCAUGUGCGAUUGUGUGCUGCUUGGCGCUUUGUGCAAGUGUCCAUGUGCUGGGUGAUGAAGAUUUUGGCGGGCCCAUAUGCUUGGGUGAUUGGGCCGUCCGCGUCCCUUGUGCGAAUUGGCGUGAGUGUUGGGCGCUUCCAUGGUAAAAAUGGGCUGUCCAUAAUUGCCUGUGAAUGUGGUCCACGUGAAUUGCUUGGUUCUUUGCAAGAAUGGGCUGUCAUGUGCGGGCCCAAUUAUUUCUUGGCUCCAAAUAAGGCAGUUUUAGGGGAAUUUUCUCCAAAUUGUCCUUUUACACUAUUUUCUGCAAAAUAAUAUUAAAAGCAAUAAAUUAAGCAGAAAUCAUGUAAAUAUUUAUCAAUAAUAUUAAUAUAAAAUGGACUAAAUUAUGCUCUAUCAAAUACCCCCACACUUAGUCUUUUGCUUGUCCUCAAGCAAAUAAACAUAGUCAAAUAACCUUUCUUUGCUUUUGAUCCUUUAUUUCCACUUAAACUCUUACUCUAGACACCUAUUUUGAAUCAUUGCAGUGAAGAAUAUAUGCAUGAAGAUUACUCACAUUCUUUCCUUGUUUCCCUUUACUCACCGUCGCUAGGAUUUGUUUUCCUCAAGAGAGACCAUACAUGCACAUUUUUGUUAAGACUUUUUCUAGCUUUCAGAGUGACUUGCCCUUACCUUGAAGUACUUUAUUAAGCUUUUUGCACUUUUAAUUUUGCUUGAACAAGUCACCAACCUUUUGACGUGAAGGUGCAUAUUUGUGAUACCCACCCCCAGUUACUCAGUUGGUCACCUUUUUAAGUGGCUACUAGCUCUGUUCUUAGUCUUUUGACCAUUGGAACAAUUUUUUACUUUGUGCUUUUGAGGUCUUUGCCUUUGCUAAAUUUUCUUUUUCUCAAUGACUUGGGCAAAUCAACACCAAUUGCUAGAUCAAGUCACAUUAAGUUCAUUCACACAAUUUCAAUUUAUUAUCAUCAAUUGAGGGUCAUCAAUAUAUUUUUCACCAUGGGCGAGCUCAAAGAUUCAAUUCAAAAGGUAAUUCUCAAACAUGAAUAUAACUCACUGCAAUUGAUUCAACAUAAGUUUAAAGAGUUAUCACAUCAAUGGGGUCAUGGAAAGAAAAAUUCAUCCAACAUAGUUCAUCAGUUUGAGUAGAGCAAAACAAAAAGAAGAAGAAGGGUUGUGGUUGUGUGUGUAUUAUUGAAAGCAAAAAUAAACUAAAAGAAAACUGAAAGCAUAAAUCGCAUAACUGAAAGGAAAAUUAUUUUUUUAUUUUUUUUUAUUUUUAUUUAUUUUUUUAUUUUUUUAUUUUUAUUUUUUUUUUUGCAAAAAAGAGAAGAAGAAGAUGGAAAGAAAGAAGAAGAGAAGGAGAAGAAGAGAUAUGCACCCCCACACUUAAAUCAUGCAUUGUCCUCAAUGUAAAAGAAAAGAAGAGAACAAAAGAAUCUGAAUACUCCCCUGGGGUGUAGGUGCAUGGCGUGAUCCUCUUAGGCAGAAUGUUGUUGUAGUGGAAUUUCUUCCACCACUUGUACUGCGAAUCCUUCAAAGUAUGGCUUCAGGCGAUGCCCAUUUACCUUGAAUAUUUUUCCGGUCUCUAUGUUGCGAAUGUCUACAGCUCCAUGUGGGUAGGCAUGUUCUACAAUGAAUGGUCCAAUCCACCUAGACCGUAGCUUUCCUGGAAAUAAUUUCAGACGAGAGUCAAAGAGUAAAACUUUAUCACCAACCUCAAAUUGUUUUCUUGAGAGAUGACUGUCAUGGGAGGCUUUGGUUUUUACUUUGUAGUUCCAAGAGUUUUCAUAUGCAUCUCGUCUUAUUUCCUCAAGCUCUUGCAGUUGCAACUUGCGGUGGUGUCCAGCUUCUUUAAGGUCCAUGUUGCAAUUCUUUACAACCCAAUAGGCCUUGUGUUCAAGCUCAACUGGAAGGUGACAAGCUUUUCCAUAGACCAAUCUGUAAGGAGAGAUACCUAUGGGAGUCUUGUAAGCUGUUCGGUAGGCCCAUAAAGCAUCUUCUAGUCUGGCACUCCAAUCUUUUCGGUUAGGGGAGACUGUCUUCUCAAGGAUGGCCUUGAUUUCUCUAUUGGAUACUUCAACUUGCCCAUUUGUCUGAGGGUGAUAGGCUGUGGAUGUUCUAUGGAUCACAUUAUGUUUCCUGAGGAGGCUUUCCACUACCUUGUUGCAAAAAUGGGUCCCUCUAUCACUGAUGAUUGCCUUUGGUACUCCAUGUCUGGCAAAGAUGUGGGUCUUCACAAAGUCUACUACGGCCUUGGCAUCAUCAGUCUUUGUUGCUCUAGCUUCCACCCAUUUGGAUACAUAAUCCACUGCAAGGAUGAUGUAGGUGUAUCCAAAGGAUGGUGGGAAUGGGCCCAUGAAGUCUAUGCCCCACACAUCAAAUACCUCACAGACCAUGACGGGGUUCUGUGGCAUUUGAUUUCUUUUGCUCAGAUUUCCAGUUUGUUGACACCUAGCACAUGAUCUGCAAAACAUAAAAGCAUCUCAAAAAAUAGUGGGCCAAAACAGACCACUUUCAAAUAUCUUAUGAGCAGUUUUUAUGGGACCAAAGUGUCUACCACAACUAUAUGAGUGACAAAAAGUGAGUACUGAAGCUAUUUCUUGGUCUGGAAUGCAUCUCCUUAUCAUUUGGUCAGCACAAUGUUUCCACAAAUAUGGCUCAUCCCAAACAUAGUAUUUGGCAUCUUUCUUUAUCUUAGCUUUGGUGUGCUUUGGCAUGUCAGAAGGCAAGUUACCUGUGGCUAAGUAGUUUACCAUGUCUGCGUACCAUGGCUCAUCAGAUUGGGCAAGGAAGAUUUGUUCAAGGUGGUCAUUCUUAUAUUCUUCAGAUUAUGAGAGAUGUUGCAAAGGUGUCUACGCAGAGGUGGUUUCAGAAGUCUCCUUUUGUGCAAGACUUGACUGCAAAGGAGAUGGCGCAGAACUGGAUUCAGAAGCUUCCUUUUGCGCAGGACUUGGCUGAAAGGGAGGCGGAGGAGAGCUAAUUUGCAUGGGAAGUUGAAUGGGCGCGCCUGAGAGGCUUUCAGAUGCCUCUUCUUGCGCAGGGGUGGUCUGUACUCCAUUCUGAAGUGGUGCAACUGGUUUCUGUACUUCCUAUAGUGGUUUGUAGUUCAUCUGGUGGAUGCUGCAAACUAUUUCCUUAUGUUUCGACUCUUUCUGGCUCUCAUUCCUGCAAAGAUCAUCAUUUAGUAUAUCAUCUUGAUUUACAAAAAAAACAUUUUCACUCAAACAAUCAAUGAUAUCUAAAUUAUCAACAGAUUCUGUUUGAUCAGUUUGUUUAGGCAAACAAUUUUCUGGUUGUUUCUCUUCAGCAGCUUGUUGUUGUGCUUGUGAACUUUCAUCAUUUGUCUUAUCAUCUUGAAACUCUUCCUCUCUCCUUAACAUGUUUGCAUUUAAUGAGGUGGUCAUUUGUUCUAUCUGCUGUUGGAUGCUUUGCAUAGAACUUGCCAAUGUCUCCAUCAUCUUCUCAAGGUGUUGGUUGGAACUUGGAGGUGCGGGUUGGGCUUGAUAUCCUUGAUAGUUCUAGUAGUUGUUAGCCUUAGCAUAGCCAAAAUUCGGAUGGUCUCCCCAAUAUGGAUUGUAGGUGUCAAGGUAAGGAUCAUGUCUUGGUUGUCCAUAGGAUCCUUCAAAUGCAUGUACUUGUUGAAGUUGUCGAGCUUGACCUAUAACAAGACUUUUCAAAGUAGAGGUUAGUUCAGAAAUUUGAGAAGUGAGAACAGAUGUACCUACCUCAUUGACUCCUUUUUGCAAUUGCUUUUCAUCCAUAUUGUCUAGAUGCUACUGCAAGUCUUGAAAUCAACUCUCUAAUUGCUUGAGGUGUGCUAUCUUUAAUUGAAUCUCUACAUGCUACAUCAAUGAAUUUCCUUUCGGAUAGUAGCAAACCUCCACAGAAGAAUUCUAUGAGUGAUCUUUCUGAAAUGUCAUGUUGAGAACAAUUUGUACACAAUCUAUUAAAUCUUUCCCAGUAAUCAUACAAAUCUUCAGUUUCUUCUUGCUUAAUGCAACUAAUCUCUCUUCUUAUGCCUAUUAUUUUAGAAGUUGGAAAAUAUUUGUUCAGAAAGGCUCUUACCAUACCUUCCCAAGAAGUGAUUGAUCCAGGUGGCAAGUAAAAUAACCAAUCUUUGGCAUAAUCAUAAAGUGAGAAUGGGAAUGCUCUUAAUUUAACAUGCUCUUCAGAUAUGCCUUGUGGUCCCAUGGAUGAACAAACAAAAUGAAAUUCUUUCAAGUGCUUAUGUGGAUUUUCAUGCUCCAAACCUCUAAAUUUAGGUAGUAGAUGUAUCAAACCUGUUUUGAGCUUAAAAGGGGCUGUCAAAGGUGGGUAAGUGAUGCACCAUAGCGCUUGAUCAUCAACAGGGGCUGCCAACUCUCUCAGUGUUCUUUCUCUUGGUAUUGGUGCCCUCUUGGCUGGAUUUUCUGGUUCAAUAUCAGCAUGUACAGCAGGUCCAGCUGGUCUUUGAACAGGGGCAGCAGGUUGCACAUGAAAUUCAGCCAUCUAAGCGGCUGUUUGGGCAAUUUCUGCAGCUGUGUUUGCAAGGGCUGGUUCUGCAGAUUCUGGUGCAGCAGAUUCUGGUUCUGUUGAGGUAAUUUCUGUGUGUGCUAUCUCCUAGACAGCAGGUAACGCUUGUUCUGUAAUUUCUGCAUAUGCUGUUUUUUGGAUAGCAACAAAUUCAGCAGGUGUUGUUUGAGCAGCAGUGUUUAUGGCUGCCUUUUGGACAGCAUCUGGUUCUGUUUCUUAGAACAGCAGUCUUGACAGUAGGUGCAGAAGGUAAUUGCUCAGUAGCAUUGUUGAGGGUGGCAGAUCUGGUAAUGAAAGAAAAAUAAACAAGUAAAAUCAAUUCCCCGGCAACGGCGCCAAUUUUUGACUCGCGGUUGUCGAAGCCGGUCAAAAAUAACCUUUCCGGUUAUCAACAAUUUUACAACUGCAGAUAGUGGUAAAUGAUCGAAUCCACAGAGAAUUGAUUACCAAUCUAUUUUUCUCAACAAGACCAAUUAACUAAAACAAUAAUAAAUUAAAAUGCGAUAAAAGACUGAAAGUGAGAUCAAAUGAGAUAAACUGCAAAUUGGGAUCAAAACUGUCAACAAAAUAACAGGGGGGUUUGAGAUUGAUUGUAGUAAACUAAUAAUGAGAAUAAUAAUGGAAAACAAAUAAUUAAAUAAAAAGUAAUCAAUGAUGAGAAAGUUCUAAUUGAAGUAUUGGAUCCACUUUAGUUGUUGGGAUUGAUCACAGACACUUUGUUCUUUUGGGUUGAUUCAAUAAAUUAGUUAUGGAGAUGGAAGACGCUUCUCACCACCAUUAUCUCUCCUUAUGAUUAAACCAAUUAGGGAACGUCCUCUAAUUAAUUACUAAUUAACAAAUUGCCAAGGAACGUCCUUGAAUCUUAGGCAUCAAAACAAUUGUCAAUUGCAUUAAGAAAUAGAGAGAUCCAAUCCUAACUACCCAAACGUAUGGAGAUAACGCUAGAUUAUGCAACUUCCUUGGGUUUUAUCCCAAGUGUUCUCAUGUAAGAAUAAUCCAAGCAAUUACGGACUUAAAUUAUUCAAACUAACAGAUAAUUAUUUUGCAAUAAAAAAUCAAUGUAGAUCUCAAUAACAAAAUAAUAUGAAAAUUAAAUAUGAAAUUGCAUGAAUAUUAAAUUUCCAAAACUUAAACAAUAUUUGAUCAAGUCUCACAACCCAUUAAUCAACUAAAACUUCAACCAAUAUUCAACUAGAUUAAAGAAAUUCAGCCACUCAUUGACUGAAUUAAAAAAUGAAAAUAAAAAAAAAAGAAAAGAAAAGAAGAAGAACCGAAGGAUAUUGAAUUCUGCCUUCUGCCUUCUGCCUUCUGCCUUGCGCCGAGCACUGCCGAAUUGAAAUUGGGAUUGAAUUAUGCACUGAAGAGCCUUUAAAUAGGUGCAGAGAGCGCCCUAAUUAGGAAGUACCGACGCUGUCCACGCGGUGGAGUGGAUUGAGUGCGCGAGCGGUCCAUGUGAGGCUGGAGUCCAUUGUGCGUGGCUUUGGGCCACUGGAGGGUAUUGCGAAGUGGCAGUGACCCAUGUGAAGAGCUCGGUCCACGGGCUGUCCGUGUGCGAAGGUUGCGUGAAGGCGGGGGUGUGAGUGCAGUCCACGUGCUGGUCCUUGGACCAUUGUGCAUGAAUGCUGAAGGUGGGCCACAUGUGCGUGCUCGUUGAAGUGAAUGGUGGAGCGCCUUGGCGGGCCCGCAUGAAGUGGGUUUGUGCGGAUUGGGCCGUCCAACGGCGUGAGUGGUGAAGGCGGAGCCCAUGUGCGAUUGUGUGCUGCUUGGCGCUUUGUGCAAGUGUCCAUGUGCUGGGUGAUGAAGAUUUUGGCGGGCCCAUAUGCUUGGGUGAUUGGGCCGUCCGCGUCCCUUGUGCGAAUUGGCGUGAGUGUUGGGCGCUUCCAUGGUAAAAAUGGGCUGUCCAUAAUUGCCUGUGAAUGUGGUCCACGUGAAUUGCUUGGUUCUUUGCAAGAAUGGGCUGUCAUGUGCGGGCCCAAUUAUUUCUUGGCUCCAAAUAAGGCAGUUUUAGGGGAAUUUUCUCCAAAUUGUCCUUUUACACCAUUUUCUGCAAAAUAAUAUUAAAAGCAAUAAAUUAAGCAGAAAUCAUGUAAAUAUUUAUCAAUAAUAUUAAUAUAAAAUGGACUAAAUUAUGCUCUAUCA
rnacentral:lncRNA from 1 species